rnacentral:rRNA from 1 species
UACGGAGGGGGCUAGCGUUGUUCGGAAUUACUGGGCGUAAAGCGCGCGUAGGCGGGUUGGUAAGUCCGCUGUGAAAGCCCGGAGCUCAACUCCGGAGGGUCGGUGGAUACUGCCAGUCUUGAAGGUGCUAGGGGGAGAUGGAAUUACCGGUGUAGCGGUGAAAUGCGUAGAUAUCGGAAGGAACACCAGUGGCGAAAGCGGCUUCCUGGUCCAGCACCGACGUUCAGGCACGAAAGCGUGGGGAGCAAACAGGG